UGUGACUUGUCCCUGUGAUUGCCCAUUCCUUUCAGCUGUGUGUGUUCUCCCAGUGUAUCCUGCAAUCUGCAUCCACCUGUGUUACCCAGCUGUUCCUCGUCUCGUUACCCCUUGUCUGCGUGUGUGUAUAUAAAGACCCAGUUUCUUGUCACUCCUUGUUGCGUCAUUGUCAAUGUACUGGUCCACGUUCAUGCCUGCGUUCCCCCCCAGUUCCUCGUGUUACUCGCCCUGCUUUGAAAGCAUCCAAUCCAAUUUGGCUUCCAGGCCUCCCAGUCAAAAUGAACUGGAUGUCUACUAUCAUCAGUGGCAGCCAAUAAGGCUUGAUGAAAAGAAACGCGGAGAGAAACCACGACGCGCUCGGCAAACAUCGGCCGGCCUGAGUGUGAGCAAAUCAAUGCGGGCCUUUUCAUUACAUGUCCAUCUUCUCACUCGCUGACGCCAAACGUGGCGGAAAUUGAGAGACCCGUCAAGGACUCUGAGUUCGUCUCUUUGGCAACAACAGGACUCAAAAUAUAAAAACAUGAUAUUUUGAUUGUGUUUGACUGUGUUACAGUUAAUAUAUAAUCAUUUUAUGAAACUCUCCUUAUUCAGAGACAACCUUUAAAGAACAUUUUGAUUCUUUCUAUGCGAGUACCCGCUCACCCCGCCGCUCUCGCUUGAUGAUGAAAUAAAUGAGAAGAUGAAGGUCCCUGUGUAGGCCUUGUUUGGGGAUGAUUCAUCUCUUUGCCUCAUUUCCAGCGACCUCCUCUUCUCAUAUAAAGCACUCAUCCAUCCUUCUUUCCGGUGGAAAUUUGUUACCUGAAAAAACCUUAUGCUUUCUGAGGGGCAGGAUGCAGUGGAUUUUUUGUGGGGGGAAUGUAGCAUCAAUGCACCAGAAAUGUAGGGGAAAAAAAGCACAGAAGGGGUACAAAUAAGAUGUCAAACAUUAUUUUCUAGAGGAAGAAGACCAUAUGUUCAA